rnacentral:rRNA from 1 species
AACGAACGCUGGCGGCAUGCCUAACACAUGCAAGUCGAACGAGACCUUCGGGUCUAGUGGCGCACGGGUGCGUAACGCGUGGGAACCUGCCCUUAGGUUCGGAAUAACUCCCCGAAAGGGGUGCUAAUACCGGAUAAUGUCUUCGGACCAAAGAUUUAUCGCCUUUGGAUGGGCCCGCGUUGGAUUAGCGAGUUGGUAGGGUAAAAGCCUACCAAUGCGACGAUCCAUAGCUGGUCUGAGAGGAUGAUCAGCCACACUGGGACUGAGACACGGCCCAGACUCCUACGGGAGGCAGCAGUGGGGAAUAUUGGACAAUGGGCGAAAGCCUGAUCCAGCAAUGCCGCGUGAGUGAUGAAGGCCUUAGGGUUGUAAAGCUCUUUUACCUGGGAUGAUAAUGACAGUACCGGGAGAAUAAGCUCCGGCUAACUCCGUG